CAUGGUUAAGUGGGAAACGAUGUGGGAAGGCCCAGACAGCCAGGAUGUUGGCUUAGAAGCAGCCAUCAUUUAAAGAAAGCGUAAUAGCUCACUGGUCGAGUCGGCCUGCGCGGAAGAUGUAACGGGGCUAAACCAUGCACCGAAGCUGCGGCAGCGACGCUUAUGCGUUGUUGGGUAGGGGAGCGUUCUGUAAGCCUGUGAAGGUGUGCUGUGAGGUAUGCUGGAGGUAUCAGAAGUGCGAAUGCUGACAUAAGUAACGAUAAAGCGGGUGAAAAGCCCGCUCGCCGGAAGACCAAGGGUUCCUGUCCAACGUUAAUCGGGGCAGGGUGAGUCGACCCCUAAGGCGAGGCCGAAAGGCGUAGUCGAUGGGAAACAGGUUAAUAUUCCUGUACUUGGUGUUACUGCGAAGGGGGGACGGAGAAGGCUAUGUUGGCCGGGCGACGGUUGUCCCGGUUUAAGCGUGUAGGCUGGUUUUCCAGGCAAAUCCGGAAAAUCAAGGCCGAGGCGUGAUGACGAGGCACUACGGUGCUGAAGCAACAAAUGCCCUGCUUCCAGGAAAAGCCUCUAAGCAUCAGGUAACAUCAAAUCGUACCCCAAACCGACACAGGUGGUCAGGUAGAGAAUACCAAGGCGCUUGAGAGAACUCGGGUGAAGGAACUAGGCAAAAUGGUGCCGUAACUUCGGGAGAAGGCACGCUGAUACGUAGGUGAAGCGACUUGCUCGUGGAGCUGAAAUCAGUCGAAGAUACCAGCUGGCUGCAACUGUUUAUUAAAAACACAGCACUGUGCAAACACGAAAGUGGACGUAUACGGUGUGACGCCUGCCCGGUGCCGGAAGGUUAAUUGAUGGGGUUAGCGCAAGCGAAGCUCUUGAUCGAAGCCCCGGUAAACGGCGGCCGUAACUAUAACGGUCCUAAGGUAGCGAAAUUCCUUGUCGGGUAAGUUCCGACCUGCACGAAUGGCGUAAUGAUGGCCAGGCUGUCUCCACCCGAGACUCAGUGAAAUUGAACUCGCUGUGAAGAUGCAGUGUACCCGCGGCAAGACGGAAAGACCCCGUGAACCUUUACUAUAGCUUGACACUGAACAUUGAGCCUUGAUGUGUAGGAUAGGUGGGAGGCUUUGAAGUGUGGACGCCAGUCUGCAUGGAGCCGACCUUGAAAUACCACCCUUUAAUGUUUGAUGUUCUAACGUGGACCCGUGAUCCGGGUUGCGGACAGUGUCUGGUGGGUAGUUUGACUGGGGCGGUCUCCUCCUAAAGAGUAACGGAGGAGCACGAAGGUUGGCUAAUCCUGGUCGGACAUCAGGAGGUUAGUGCAAUGGCAUAAGCCAGCUUGACUGCGAGCGUGACGGCGCGAGCAGGUGCGAAAGCAGGUCAUAGUGAUCCGGUGGUUCUGAAUGGAAGGGCCAUCGCUCAACGGAUAAAAGGUACUCCGGGGAUAACAGGCUGAUACCGCCCAAGAGUUCAUAUCGACGGCGGUGUUUGGCACCUCGAUGUCGGCUCAUCACAUCCUGGGGCUGAAGUAGGUCCCAAGGGUAUGGCUGUUCGCCAUUUAAAGUGGUACGCGAGCUGGGUUUAGAACGUCGUGAGACAGUUCGGUCCCUAUCUGCCGUGGGCGCUGGAGAACUGAGGGGGGCUGCUCCUAGUACGAGAGGACCGGAGUGGACGCAUCACUGGUGUUCGGGUUGUCAUGCCAAUGGCACUGCCCGGUAGCUAAAUGCGGAAGAGAUAAGUGCUGAAAGCAUCUAAGCACGAAACUUGCCCCGAGAUGAGUUCUCCCUGACCCUUUAAGGGUCCUGAAGGAACGUUGAAGACGACGACGUUG
rnacentral:rRNA from 1 species